rnacentral:lncRNA from 1 species
AACAGAGCCACAUGGUUUUGCCGAGGCACGGCAAAAAUACUCAGGGAACUGCGAGCUGUGGUUAUCUCUGGGGAAUAAGACUGGGGUGGCCAGGAGGUCAGCUCUAUUCUCGAGAAGACAUCCUCCAGCAGGUGGAAAACAUGCUCCCCAGCAUUCUAGCUUCUACCAGCCUGGCAGCCCCCACAAAGCAACAGCAACUCUUUCCAGC